UUUUUGUAAAUAUAUAAAUUUUUUAUAAAAAAAAAAAAAGCAUUUUCUGUUAGUCUAUUAAUAGGUAGUUUGUUUAUGAUUUAACAUUUAUUUUUAAAAAUGCUUCCUAAAAGGUUUUUUUUUUUUAAUGAAUGCAAAAUGCGUUUUUGUAUUUAUUUUGUAAUAAAUAACCUAACCCUUCUCUUAUAAAAGAGCAAUUUAUUCAAUCCAAAAUGAAUGUUUAUUGGCAAACAUGUUGAAGAUUAGCCGACAGGCUGUCGAGUCAUUGUUGUGAGAUGUUUCCUCACAAGUUUAUUCAGCGUACGCCGAAAUCGAGAUAAGCAUCUAUCUAUCGACAACAAAAUCUCCUACUUCCAUUCACGGCAUCCAAAGGUGUUGAGGUUUUUUUUUUUUUGCUAACAUUGAAGGGUCCUUGAAGCGCCUCUGAUAAAAUCCACCUGCAGCAGAGCCAUAAAUCACAGCUAGAGGUGGGAUUGAGGACUCUUCUGCAACCUCAAAUGACAAAUGGGACACAGUCUCAUGAACUUUUAAUGCAUGCGAGCUUUGCUGUUCACAUCAAUUGUUGCAUUUGUGACAGGGCCUCAUGUUUCUCUGCUUGUGUGUACAUAGGCCUAAGACUGAAAGAAUGGGAGAGAAUGCCCUCUGCUGUUGAAGAAAAUGUUUGUAUAUGUUUGGUAUUUGGGGUAUUUAUACAGUUUAUAGCUAUUAAGUGUUUAUAGGUUUUUUUUUUAGUAUCUAUUAAAGUAUGACGGCAUCA